rnacentral:misc_RNA from 1 species
GGUGGAGGCCGGGCGACGCGGCAGCGUUCAAGGUGCUACUGGCGCUGGCAACGAUGUACGGCAUCAUGUGCUUCGCCGCCUACACCGUCAUCUACAUGCGCCACGUCCGCCCCCUAGGCCCCGACGCGCCGCUGGAUCAGUUUUCCGAGGCCAGGGCGAUUGAGCACAUCCGGCACCUCUCCGUCGACAUCGUGGAUCGCCAGGUAGGGCGGC